rnacentral:rRNA from 1 species
GACGAACGCUGGCGGCGUGCUUAACACAUGCAAGUCGAACGGUAAGGCCCUUCGGGGUACACGAGUGGCGAACGGGUGAGUAACACGUGGGUGAUCUGCCCUGCACUUCGGGAUAAGCCUGGGAAACUGGGUCUAAUACCGGAUAGGACCACUGCCUGCAUGGGUGGUGGUGGAAAGCUUUUGCGGUGUGGGAUGGGCCCGCGGCCUAUCAGCUUGUUGGUGGGGUGUUGGCCUACCAAGGCGACGACGGGUAGCCGGCCUGAGAGGGUGACCGGCCACACUGGGACUGAGAUACGGCCCAGACUCCUACGGGAGGCAGCAGUGGGGAAUAUUGCACACUGGGCGCAAGCCUGAUGCAGCGACGCCGCGUGAGGAAUGACGGCCUUCGGGUUGUAAACCUCUUCCAGCACCGACGAAGCGCAAGUGACGGUAGGUGCAGAAGAAGGACCGGCCAACUACGUGCCAGCCGCCGCGGUAA